GCAUAAAACCUAGCCCUAUUACCCCUAUUCAUACGUGCCCUUUUCAUAAACCAUUUUAAAUUUUUAGUAAAGGUGAUUAAAAAACUUUUAGGAGCCUCAGAUACAGUACCGCAAGGGAAAGGUGAAAUAACAAUGAAACAUCUUUAAGCACAAUACAGCAGAGAUAAAUACUCGUACCUUUUGCAUCAUGGUCUAGCUAGUCUAAUCAAGCAAAACAUUACUUCAGUUUGCCAUCCCGAAACUAAGUGAGCUACUUCAAAACAGCUUUUAGAGCGAACCCGUCUCUGUUGCAAUAGAGUGGGAAGAUUUUCAAGUAGAGGUGAUAUGCCUAUCGAACUUAGAGAUAGCUGGUUACUCAGGAAAAGAAUUUUAGUUCCCCCUUAAGUUUUCCCGCAAACAUAAAGCAAAUAUACUUAAGAGCUAUUCAAAUAAGGUACAGCUUAUUUGAAACAGGACACAACCUCUACUAUUGGGUAAGGCAUUUGUCUCUCACAAAAAGUGGGCUUAAGAGCAGCCAUCAAGAAAAAGCGUUAAAGCUUAGUUGAACAGACACCCUAAUUUCUUUAUUUACCCUGAACCCCUUACUAAUACUGAGUGAUUUUAUAAUAAUAUAAAAGUCAUAAUGCUAGAACUAGUAACAAGAAAAAAUUUCUCCUAAAUGUAAGCUUAAGCCGACUACCCUAACCGGCGAUUAACGUAUGUGACCUUAUUAUAUCAACUACAGCUAGAGAACCCUAUAGUAUUUAACGUUAACCUAACCCUAGAACACUUCAGGAAAGAUUAAAAGGGAAAGAAGGAACUCGGCAAAUUAAAAGACCCCGCCUGUUUACCAAAAACAUCGCCUCUUGAUAAAACAAAAAUAUAAGAGGUCCAGCCUGCCCGGUGAAUCAAUUUAACGGCCGCGGUAUCCUGACCGUGCGAAGGUAGCAUAAUCACUUGUUCUUUAAAUGAGGACUAGAAUCAACGGCAUCACGAGGGUCUUACUGUCUCCUUUCCCCAAUCAGUGAAACUGAUCUCUCCGUGAAGAAGCGGGGAUGAACCUAUAAGACGAGAAGACCCCAUGGAGCUUCAAGCUCAACAAAUACUCUUUCAAAUCAACCUCAUAUCUUUAAGAAUCUACUUGUUAGCUUUGGGUUGGGGUGACCGCGGAGAAAAACUUAACCUCCAUAAUGAAAAGAAUAGAAUCCUAAUCUAAGAGUCAACACCUCUAAGAAUCAAUAAAUUGACAUAAAAUGACCCGACAUUUCGAUCAAUGAACCAAGUUACCCUGGGGAUAACAGCGCCAUCCACUUCAAGAGCCCCUAUCGACGAGUGGGUUUACGACCUCGAUGUUGGAUCAGGGUGUCCCAGUGGUGCAGCCGCUACUAAAGGUUCGUUUGUUCAACGAUUAAAACCCUACGUGAUCUGAGUUCAGACCGGAGCAAUCCAGGUCGGUUUCUAUCUAUAAAGGACUGUCCCUAGUACGAAAGGAUCGGAACAGUGUGGUCCCUACCACUAGCACACCACUAAUAAACACUAUGUAGUACAACUAAAUUGAACAACCUAAAAAACACCCCUAGAUAACGGGAU
rnacentral:rRNA from 1 species